rnacentral:rRNA from 1 species
AGGUUACUGCUAUCGAGGUUCGACUAAGCCAUGCGAGUCGAAUGUAGCAAUACAUGGCGUACUGCUCAGUAACACGUGGACAACCUACCCUUAGGACGGGGAUAAACCCGGGAAACUGGGUAUAAUACCCGAUAGUCCUCGGCGGCUGGAAUGCCCCGAGGUCUAAAGCUCCGGCGCCUAAGGAUGGGUCUGCGGCCUAUCAGGUAGUAGUGGGUGUAGCGUACCUACUAGCCUACGACGGGUACGGGUUGUGAGAGCAAGAGCCCGGAGAUGGAUUCUGAGACACGAAUCCAGGCCCUACGGGGUGCAGCAGGCGCGAAAACUUUACAAUGCUGGCAACAGCGAUAAGGGAACCUCGAGUGCCAGGUUACAAAUCUGGCUGUCGUGAUGCCUAAAAAGCAUUGCAUAGCAAGGGCCGGGCAAGACCGGUGCCAGCCGCCGCGGUAACACCGGCGGCUCGAGUGGUAACCGUUAUUAUUGGGUCUAAAGGGUCUGUAGCCGGCCGGAUAAGUCUCUUGGGAAAUCUGGCAGCUUAACUGUCAGGCUUUCAGGAGAUACUGUCUGGCUCGAGGCCGGGAGAGGUGAGAGGUACUUCAGGGGUAGGGGUGAAAUCUUGUAAUCCUUGAAGGACCACCAGUGGCGAAGGCGUCUCACCAGAACGGACCUGACGGCAAGGGACGAAAGCUAGGGGCACGAACCGGAUUAGAUACCCGGGUAGUCCUAGCCGUAAACGAUACUCGCUAGGUGUCGGCCACGGUGCGACCGUUGUCGGUGCCGUAGGGAAGCCGUGAAGCGAGCCACCUGGGAAGUACGGCCGCAAGGCUGAAACUUAAAGGAAU